GAAGAAGAAGAAGAAGAAGAAGGUUCAGAGAGCUUCAUAGCUUGAGAGUAAGAUCUGAUAUUAGUCUUGGCAUGGUGUUGAAACGAUCUUAAGGCAUAAUUCCAUCUGCACAAUCCUUGAUCUUUCAUUGCCUCCACUACUCCUAUGCUUGCUGCUAUUAGCCAUGCCCUGCUCGUUGAACUCAUCUUUCCUUGUUCUUUUUUAACUGGCAAUCUAUAUAAGAGUGAGAGAUGUGGUUUAGCCGCUAGGAAGAGAGAGAUGUGUACAUUUGUUGGUGUUUUUU
rnacentral:misc_RNA from 1 species